ACACGCUCUUUCCCGGCCAACACUCUCUCCCCGACGACCACAAGGCCCCCGACGACCACUCGCUCCUCCCCGCCCUAGAUCCCUCGCCGCCGCCCUCUCCCUCUCGUCGGUGUCUUCCUCACCGCAGCCUUGCUCCUCACCACCCCUGAAACUAGCAACAUGUCUCCCCCUCGUUGGUUAAAGGUGAAAUUUUUACCAGCCGGGGUGCUCGAUCUGUGGGCGGCGGUGCUCGAUCUGUGCUGGAGCAGCGGGAGGAGGAGGGCAGUGCUGGACUGGAGCAGCGGGAGGAGGGGGUGGUGCCGGACGCUCUUACUUUGUGUAGUCCUCUCUGCUCUCGUCCUGUCGUCGCCGCCGAGGAAGACGGAGAGCCCGGCGGAGGGAGGAGCGCCAUGGCCGGUUCUGACCUCCUCCGUCUAGAUCCAGCUCCAGCAAUCAUCCCCUCUUGUUGCUUGCUCUCUCAACUACAAGACUGAAGAAGAGAACAUGGGGAGCAGCAGUUGCCCUCUGCUCUGCUCUUAUGCGAAUGCUCUACUGCAGGACCGUGGCAGCGAUGCUCGCCGAGGCGCUGGGCUGCGGCUUCGCCGAGGCGGACGACAACCACUCCCUUGCAAACAAAGGUGAGCAUUCGGGAAAAGAACACUUGGCUGAACUUCAGGAAAAGGAUGCACCGAAUCUUAGUAAGCGGAUACUCAUAGCCGAAAUCUUUUGGAUGCACAUACAGUUUGUCUCGCAACUUAAAUAAUGACAGUAAAUAAACUCUUGAUUGCACUGACCAGUAAUUGAAACUAAAUUACACCUUUUCAGUUAAUUUGAAUUAACUGAAACCUUUUGUACUCCCAUGAUCAGUGUGUUACUUUACAGUAAUUCACAACGAAUUUGUAAGUGCAAGUAGUGCCUGUUUUCAGGAGUAGGAUGCUGAUCAAUAGUGCUUGUUUGGAGUAAUUGUUUGCUCUGUACUGCAUUUUUGCUGCAACCUAAUCUGUGGAGUAUCAAGCUCAUUGGAAGAAAGCCAAUUGCUUGCUCUGUAGGAACUUUACUUUUAAGUGCUGGAGUAUAGGAUUUGCUGUUUAGCAAGGCUUGAGUAAUUUAGUGUAGGAAUUUAGUGUUCUUCACUUCUCCUCUACUCACUUCUCUUCUCUUCAGUAAAUUAAAUUUAGGAGUAGGAGUAGUUCUUAGAACUACUCUGCACCUUAGAACUACUCCUGUUAAUUAACUAAAACUACUUUUCACCUUAGAACUACUCCUGUUAAUUAACUGAUUUUUUAAAGUUAAUUAACUUAAUUUCUUUCUGUUAGGAGUAGGAGUAGUUCUUGGAGUAGGAAGAGGAGCAGUGCAAAGAAUUCUCUUCUCUUCUCUUACUCUUCUCUUCUCUACUCUCGCUCUCUUCUCUUCUCUUUGCUUCUCUUCUCUUCUCUUUCUCUUCUCUUUUCAGUAGUUUGUCUUGUGCCCUCCAUCUUCUUGCUCUCUUCUCUUCUCUUCUCUAAAUUAUGUGUAAUUAUGGAUUAUUACACAUACUCCUCUUCUCUUCUCUAAAUUCUCUUCUUUAUUGGAGUACUACUCUUCUCUUCUCUAAAUACUCUUCUCUUCUCUUCUCUUCUCUAGAUUCACUCCUCUCCUCUCCUACUACUCUCCUACUCAAAAAUCAAAUGAUCAUACAAAUGGAUUAUUAUGGAUUAUGGAGUAUCAGAGAGUGAUCAUACAAAUGGAGUAGUAGAAAUAUACACAUACAAAUGGAGUAUGGAGUAAAAAUAUAUGGAGUAAAAAAUACAUGGAAUAAAAAUAUAUGGAGUAAAAAUACUUGGAGUAAAAAUUUAAAUGAAGUUACACUACAUACAAGUGGAGUUAGACAUACUCCAACAUACUCCACACAAACAACAUACUCCAACAUACUCAAAUAUGGAUUAUUACAAACAUGACAAGCAUCACAACCUCAUCACAAGCAUCAUCACUAACAUCACAGCCUCAUCGCAAGCAUCAUCACUAGCAUCACAGCCUCAUCGCAAGCAUCAUCACUAGCAUCACAGCCUCAUCGCAAGUAUCUGUGGCACCCCAGCUCAGAGCAACCGGUUUACCAUGCAUUGCCAGCCCGGAGAUCAAGUUUUCUGGCAACACACAACAACUUGGUACAGAAAACAACCGAUUUAUUGAUGCUAGCGGAAACAUAGGUUUGAUAUUACAUCAAGUAGUGAGGCCAAGCGGCACACACGAUGCGGCUGAAAAAUAUGUACAUUAUUUAAUGGACAUGAAGGGGCCUCGACCACGAUAACUACAUGACAGCGGAACGACGACAAUGUGGAACUCCAUAGCAUAGGGACACCGAUGUGGACACGAGCUAGACAUGGGAAGCACUUUGAUCUGAUAAGACUUUCCUGAAAGCUGGCAUGACACACCAGGUCAGUACAUUGAAUGUACUUGCAAGCUCACAACAAGCAUAAGCAUAAUGGCAAACAAUAUUAUGACAUUUAAUCUGGUUAAAUGCAAUGCCAAACAUACUACUGAUGCAGUGAAAUCAACUCGUGCACCGAGUCCCGUGGACUCUCUUACCAGAUGGGUUACCUUGUAACCAAAACGGUGACCAUACCCGGAUCACAAACGAAACCAACACUUCAGUUCCACAAUGAUCAUCUUCAUGGUCUCACAAAUCAUCACAUAAACAGUGCGAACCAUAAGAAUUUAGUGUGCAAGAUUACUUAAUCAUGUUGAUCCAUGGUGUGACUUACUUACGAGCUAUGUCCGUAACCGGGAACGCGGCUACCGAUAGAUUUAAUAAACACUCUACAGAGGUUAGCACACUGUAUCCACACCACGGAAUCCAUGGCCUCGCACUCCCAUUCGGGUAGACCAACGACAUUCCGACAGAACCCUCCCAUUACCAUGACACUCUCCCGGCCAC